rnacentral:rRNA from 1 species
UACAGAGGUCCCAAGCGUUGUUCGGAUUCAUUGGGCGUAAAGGGUGUGUAGGUGGCGCCGUAAGUCGGGUGUGAAAUCUCGGGGCUUAACUCCGAAACUGCAUUCGAUACUGUGGUGCUUGAGGACUGGAGAGGAGACUGGAAUUCAUGGUGUAGCAGUGAAAUGCGUAGAGAUCAUGAGGAAGACCAGUGGCGAAGGCGGGUCUCUGGACAGUUCCUGACACUGAGACACGAAGGCCAGGGGAGCAAACGGG